UUAUUAUUAUUAUUAUUAUUAUUAUUAUUAUUAUUAUUAUUAUUAUUAUACAAUAAUAAUCAAUUCUAUAUUUGAGGAAAAUUAACUUUGUUCUCACAUUCAUUUACAAAUAAAUGUUAAUCUGGAAAAAAUAAUAAUUUUUAUAAAAAUUCCUUGGAAACUUUGGUAAGAAACAAUAUUUAUCCAAAAAUGGGAAUUUAGAACAAACAGAAAUUUGUUUUACAGAUAAGUGAUGAUAACACCAUGGUAAUUCAAUACACAAAACAAUUGACACAGACCAUUUUAAUUGUUCCAAAGUAGUUUGUUAGAAUUCAGGUUUAUCUUCCUGAUCACCAUCACUACAAUCUGGACUAACAUCAGGACUGUUAGGAUGGCCCUAAACGGCUGGAUUAGGUAGGAGUCUUGAGGCAGAGAAACGGUGCAGAUCCACUGGGUGUUUAUUCACCAACAGUUAACACCUAGGCCUGCUUGCAAUGGCCAAGGGUUUCAGCAGCAACAACUCACAAUGUGGCCAACAUGCAGCCUUUUAUAGUCCCUGGCUGCUCCAAUUAACAAACCCACAAAAAACAGGGUAAAACAAAUACAUACAUACACACAAACAAACUUGACAAAAACAACCAAAUCUUCAGAAUAAUAUUAGCAAAUACUAUUCAUUUUUAAGUAGUCAUUUCGUUUCUAAAAAGACAUUUUUAUAAAUAUAAAUCCAACAUUAAAUUUCUAAAGUGCAUCGUUCUAUUUCUCCCCCUCUUCCAUCUGCAAUGGUCUCUUCCGGAACCUUUAAAAGGUGUUCAGGCCCCCGGGGAAUCUUUUAGCCUGAACACCCUGCAGAGGAAGAGACAGAAGACACCAUCAGUUCCAGCUGAGAUGCCACUGCAUAAAAACACACAAUCAAUAAAAUACUUCAAUCUGUUUGUACCUGUUUCUUUUAUCAUUCAACACACAUUUUAAGUGUUUCCAGCUGAAUAAUGAAGACCUUCAUUACAAGGACAUUGCAAAAAUAUAUUCUUACGUUUUGUUUUUUAUAAAAUCUUUUUAUUUUUUAUUUUCCCCUUUCAACCAUAAUAAUUCACUAGAUAAAAUACCCAACUCACAAUAGACUGUGGAAAAUAUCAGUGAUCAAAACACAGUAAUGAAAAGUGUUUCAAAACAUUACGGAAAGAAAAUGAUCCGAUCCAAAAUUACAUUUUUCCGUCCAUCCAUCCAUUUAUCCACCUAGAGAACAGGUCUGUUUAAAUACAGCUGCUACAUGUUAAGGGCCAUGUCCCAUAUCACUCGCUCUCUCUGUUUCUUGUGGGGACAAUAUCUACAUGUUCUUAUUGUCUAAAAACCUGAGUAUUCUCAUCUGACUGGAGUUCAUUUUAACCAGCUAUAAAAAAGGUUAUGAUGAAACAAAUGACAAUAGAUGGAUGCUUUGCUGUUAUAACUACUUGGUCUGUUCUCAUAAUAGAUAAAGACAUGCGGAUGUAUCGGUACUGGGAAAACUGAAACAGGCAGAUAAGACAAACGCAUGUUAAUAUUUGCUUUCGGCAAACAUGAUCAAACAUGAAUUUGAAGCUGUUGUGCACCAUAAGAGAUUUACCAAAGAAAUUUCCUAAAGUUAGUUUUUGGACAACAGAAAGUUCCAUCUGUUAAUUCCCUUUUCUGUUCUUCAUAACCAGCUGUUGAUUACCCAUCAGAUUGUGUUCACAAGUAAAAACAAUUGACUGAUUUAGCACUGCCAAAAUGGAUGACAUAAAUGCUAUUUUUGAAAGAAAAAAGUAUUUCAUACACCUUUGUCAGUAUAAAGUUA